CGUGAGGUGUUGGGUUAAGUCCCGCAACGAGCGCAACCCUCAUCUUUAGUUGCCAUCAGUUAGGCUGGGCACUCUAGAGAAACUGCCUGCGAUGAGCAGGAGGAAGGCGGGGAUGACGUCAAGUCCUCAUGGCCCUUAUGGACUGGGCUACACACGUGCUACAAUGGCGGUGACAAUGGGCAGCGAAGGGGCGACCUGGAGCAAAUCCCAAAAAGCCGUCCCAGUUCGGAUUGUACUCUGCAACUCGAGUGCAUGAAGUUGGAAUCGCUAGUAAUCGCGGAUCAGCAUGCCGCGGUGAAUACGUUCCCAGGCCUUGUACACACCGCCCGUCACACCAUGGGAGUUGGGUCUACCUGACGACGGUGCGCUAACCCUUCGGGGAGGCAGCCGGCCACGGUAGGCUCAGCGACUGGGGUGAAGUCGUAACAAGGUAACCGUAGGGGAACCUGCGGUUGGAUCACCUCCUU
rnacentral:rRNA from 1 species